UACAGAGAUUGGUUGCAUACACUGUUGUGU
rnacentral:piRNA from 1 species